ACACACCAAGAGCAGAGCCUUAAAAUGCAUAAACCAAAACCAAUAAAGCUGAAAGAAGAAAUCAACAAAUCCACAAUUGUAAGUUGGACUUCAACACUCUUCUCAGCAAUUGAUAAAACUACUAGACAUAAUUUUAAAAGUUAUAAUAAUCAAAAAAUGGAGUGAAUAAUAUAAAAACAAAUUAAGAGUGUGUUUGAUUAUGAGAAAUGUCAUUUGCAGACUCCUUCCUUUGGCAGACCUUGAUUGGGCAGGUUUGAUGUGCCUGAGCUUAAUGCAGGAUGCACUUGGAUGUGGUCAAGAGCUAGUCUGGACUUUGUGUCUGCAGCUGUGGCCACUUUGCCCUCCUUCAGACUCUGAGGCCACUUUUGCUCUCAGAGGCACACAGAAGAGACAUCGGGCGCAUGGUAAGCACUGCUCAGCAGCCUCAGUGGGGCACCAAGCACAUUAGCAAAAGCAUCUGUCAUGAAUUCCAGGCCUCUGAAAGUCACUGACCACCAUAACCAUCGGCCAGAUGGAUCCCACAACUGGGGAACACAUAGAUGCCACAUAAUUCCCGGCCCUGGACUGUCUCUCUCCAUGAAAUCAGGUGAUAACAGAAAUCCCAGGAGCUUCUGAUCCUCAAGAGCUUUUUCCAAAACUGGUCUGGAAAGUCAUCCAACAUCUGCAGCCAAGCCUGUGCUUCCAGGGCUUUGCAAAACUGUGAGGCCUGCCUGGUCAGUCUGUUUGACGCAAAGCAGGAAUUUCUCUACACUAUGCACCGCAAAGCUUAUUUCUUUCUACAUUACUCCUCCUGCCAUGCAUCAUAAGCCCACUCCCUUCACCAAGCGAAAUGCUGUCUUCUCUGGACGCUCAGUAGCACCCUUCCUAAAAUGCAGCUUUCAGGACUGGACAUGAAAUUCCAGACAUGACACCAGGAAGCAGGCAUUCACGCCACCAUCUCUUUCUCUAUCCAGCCAUUUAAUGCCAUUAUUGCAAACUUUUGGGGUGCCCAAGUCAGGUUGUUAAUAAUACUGAAAUUACUGGUAUCCCAAAACUAAUUUUUUUUUUUUUUGAGAUGGA
rnacentral:lncRNA from 1 species